ensembl:lncRNA
GUCACGGGGAAAAUACUUGUGUUACGGUCUGGAUAGCAUGAAUAGUUUGGUUGCAUGUUGAUCGAGUCAUUUUUCAUUCUGUGACGCAUGGAUACUAUGAAAAUUAAAACGGAUUUUACCAAGCAAAAAUAUGCUUCCCGUCCUCUCUGGGAACAGAGGGAUAAGAAAUCUGCGGAGGUUCAGUAAUGAGGAAGAUCAGAGGAGCGCACAAGAGAGCGAACAGGAUGAGUAAUAGGAGGUACAGGUCUCCCCUAAACACGAGGAGGGAAGGCUUACAAUAUUAUUUCAAUGGGGGAACUAAGGCUAUGUUUUUGCCCAUGUUUAACAUGUCAGGUGGAGGACCAAGGGGUGUAAACAUUCUAGAAGAUGCUGGACCUCCCUGCUGCUCAAGGAGAAAGGACCGGUUUACUAGCCUUUAAAUCAAGCUGAUGAAUUUUAACUGCCGUUCAUAUUAAUACUUAACAUUUAUAACUACAUUUUUUUAUAUUAACAAAGACAAAUACAUGUUAAGUAAGACCUAUAAUUCAUUGUUAAUAUUUACUGCAUAAUUAACAAAUGUCAUUUAAUGUACCCUUAUUUUAAGGUGUUACCAAUUCAUCUGUUGUUGAGAGAGCACCCUAGAUGAAUAUGAACAAAAAAGUAUUGUAUUCAUAUCCCAAGUGUACAACCAGCGUGAACAAAAUCUAACUGAUGUACAGUACUUUGCAAAAGCCUUAGGCACCUGAAAGUCAAAAUAAGGACAUACAGUGGAUAUAGUCUACACAUCCCUGUUAAAAUGUCAGGUUCUUGUGAUGUAAAAUUAUGAGUCAAAGAUAGAUCAUGUCAGAACUUUUUCUACCUUUAAUGUGACCUAUAACGUGAACAAUUCAAUUGAAUUUGAGGGGGAAAAAUAAGAUAUAAAAACUAACAAUAACCGGGUUGCGUAAGUGUGCACACCUUUAAACUAAUAAUUUGUUGAAGCACGUUUUGAUUUUAUUACAGCAGUCUUUUUGGGUAGGAGUCUAUUUAGCAUGGCACAUCUUGACCUGGCAAUAUUUGGCCACUCUUCUUUGCAAAAGCGCUCCAAAUCUGUCGGAUUGCGAGGACAUCUCCUGUGCACAGCCCUCUUCAGAUCACCCCAGAUUGGAUUCAAUUGGAUUCACGUCUGGGCUCUGGCUGGGCCAUUCCAAAACGUUAAUCUUCUUCUGGUGAAGCCAUGCUUUUGUGGAUUAGGAUUCAAGCUGAAGAAAAACAACCCCAAAGCAUGAUUCUGCCACCACCAUGCUUCACUGUGGGUAUGGUGUUCUUUGGGUGAUGUGCUGUGUUGUUUUUGCACCAAACAUACCUUUUGGAAUUAUGGUCAAAAACUUCAACAUUGGUUUCAUCAGACCAUAAAACAUUUUCCCAAAUGCUUUUUGGAGACUUGAUGUUUGUUUUAGCUGGGCUUGGAUGUUUUUCUUUGUAAGAAGUGGCUUCAGUCUUGCCACCCUACCUCAUACCCCAUAUGAAGAAUACAGGAGACUGUUAUCACAUGUAGCACACAGCCAGUACUAAUUCCUGCAGUUCAUUUAAUGUUGCUAUAGGCCUCUUGGAAGCCUCCCUCACCAGUUUUCUUCUCGUCUUUUCAUCAAUUUUGGAGGGACGUCCAGUUCUUGGUAAUGUCUCUGUUGUGCCAUAUUUUGUAUAUAGUGCUGUACGCUGCCUGCUGUUACCUACCUUGCUACCUGCCAAACUACAUAAACUAAUUGGUCAAAUUCUACUUUAAGAGUUUACCAACGCAAUAUUUUUUAUCGGUGGACCUCUUACCCAAGCAAGCCUCCAGAAAAUUGGAGCGAAAGUGGCACUCCACCAAGUUGGAAGUAUUCAGACAAGCCUAGAUAGACAGGACGCUACAAUACCGAAAAUCACUCACAUCUGCUCGAUCAGCUUAUUUCUCCAACCUGAGUGAGGUGAACAAAAACAAUCCAAAAUGUAUCUUUGAUACAGUUGCUAAGUUAACAAAAAAGCAACGCUCAACAAGUGAAGUGGGUCUUCACUUUGGCUGUAAUGAAUACAUGAAUUACUUUGAUGAAAAGAUCAUCACCAUUAGAAAACAAAUAACUGACUCCUCCUUAAAUAGUUAUAGUCCCCAAAAUCUCCUGUUCCUCCAAAAAAUCGUAGAAAAAUGUAUUUCCCAACAACUGAAUGCCUUCCUGAAAACAAAUUGUCAUGGUGCGGUGAGCAGCAGCGCCACCGUGCCAUAUUUCCACAAGUUCCCAUAUUCUCACGAACACAUCCCGGACUGUCACAUGUUUCCCAUCUUCCACACCAGGUCCCAAUCUAGCUCGUUUGUAUGUGUAUAUAUGUUUCCCCUCUGCUCCCCACAUUGUGGAUCAUUGUUGCUGUUUGUAGGUUAAUCGGUGAGUGUUGUUUAAUGUACUGUUUGAAUGUUUAUUGUUAAGACGCAUGUUGCGCACUUUGAUUUCAUUCAGUCAUUAGUAUUGUUUUCCGUUCG